GACGAACCGUGCGAACGUUGUUCGGAAUCACUGGGCUUAAAGGGCGCGUAGGCGGGUUCGCAAGUCUGUGGUGAAAGCCCCCGGCUUAACCGGGAAGGGCCGUGGAUACUGCGAAUCUUGAGGAGGGUAGGGGCAUCUGAAACGGUCGGUGGAGCGGUGAAAUGCGUUGAUAUCGACCGGAACUCCGGUGGCGAAGGCGGCAUACUGGUCCACUUCUGACGCUGAGGCGCGAAAGCCAGGGGAGCAAACGGG
rnacentral:rRNA from 1 species